rnacentral:rRNA from 1 species
GUAGGUGGCAAGCGUUGUCCGGAAUUAUUGGGCGUAAAGCGCGCGCAGGCGGUUCUUUAAGUCUGAUGUGAAAGCCCACGGCUCAACCGUGGAGGGUCAUUGGAAACUGGAGAACUUGAGUACAGAAGAGGAAAGCGGAAUUCCACGUGUAGCGGUGAAAUGCGUAGAGGUGUGGAGGAACACCAGUGGCGAAGGCGGCUUUCUGGUCUGUAACUGACGCUGAGGCGCGAAAGCGUGGGGAGCAAACAGGGAUUAGAUACCCUGGUAGUCCACGCCGUAAACGACGAGUGCUAAGUGUUAGGGGGUUUCCCGCCCCUUAGUGCUGCAGCUAACGCAUUAAGCACUCCGCCUGGGGAGUACGGCCGCAAGGCUG